UUUCUAAUUCUUCCUGGAGGAGCUUGCUAUCUAACCGAUAAUCCACGCAAUACCUCACCAACUUUUGAAUUUUACAGCCUGUAUACCAUCGUCGUCAGUUUACUUCCCGAGAAAUGUAAACACAAAGAGUUAACAAUACUCUCGACGUCAGAUCGAGGUGCAGCUAAUAAGUUGGGGAUCAGUGAGCUACAAUAAUAAAACAAGAUAAAAACUAUUUAUGAAUAACAGGUUGAAAACACCAGUUUGAAACAGGAUUCAGCAGUAAUGAGUAAAAUAAAAUACUCAUGAACCUCUGUAAAGCUCUAGAAUGCGC
rnacentral:rRNA from 1 species